GCGCCGGUGGUGUAAGGCGAACAUCGCUGCCCGGAAAGCAGAAGAUGCGGGUUCAAGUCCCGCCUGGUGCA
rnacentral:tRNA from 1 species